UAGGAUCUGUCCCACAGAUUUUUCAUGGAC
rnacentral:piRNA from 1 species